UACGUAGGGCGCAAGCGUUAUCCGGAAUUAUUGGGCGUAAAGAGCUCGUAGGCGGUCUGUCGCGUCGGUCGUGAAAACUUGGGGCUUAACCCUGAGCUUGCGGUCGAUACGGGCAUGACUGGAGUUCGGUAGGGGAGACUGGAAUUCCUGGUGUAGCGGUGAAAUGCGCAGAUAUCAGGAGGAACACCGGUGGCGAAGGCGGGUCUCUGGGCCGAUACUGACGCUGAGGAGCGAAAGCGUGGGGAGCGAACAGG
rnacentral:rRNA from 1 species